GGGGAUGUAAUGGUUUCGACGGGGGUAGAGAAGCCGGGUAAGCUAGCCGUGGUCACCGGAUCCACGUAAAAAGCUGGUCGUUAAACACAAACGCUAAAAGUGAAACUAAUUUCGCAUUUGCUGCUUAAUUAACGCAGCCCGCGCGUCGCUCACCGUUCACCUGCAGGCGGUGAUGUCGGCGUCGACCAUGCAGGAAAACUUCACUGUAAUGCCCGUAGCAGUGAAGGACAAACGGGAUAGUUCAGGCGAUGGCCUGCCACUUGGCAGUUGUCUGGGCGAAACACUUAAAAAGUGGCUGCGCUAGGAGAAAGCCUUGUGGACUUGCUUUCGGACAUCGGUUCAAUUCCGAUCAUCUCCACCA
rnacentral:sRNA from 1 species